rnacentral:rRNA from 1 species
CAGCAGCCGCGGGAAUACAGAGGGUGCGAGCGUUAAUCGGAUUUACUGGGCGUAAAGCGUGCGUAGGCGGCUUUUUAAGUCGGAUGUGAAAUCCAUGAGCUUAACUUAGGAAUUGCAUUCGAUACUGGGAAGCUAGAGUAUGGGAGAGGAUGGUAGAAUUCCAGGUGUAGCGGUGAAAUGCGUAGAGAUCUGGAGGAAUACCGAUGGCGAAGGCAGCCAUCUGGCCUAAUACUGACGCUGAGGUACGAAAGCAUGGGGAGCAAACAGGAUUAGAUACCCCCGUAGUCCCUGUCUCUUAUAC